rnacentral:lncRNA from 1 species
CUGUCUCAAUAUUUCUCUUUUCUUCUUUUUAAACAAAAGAAUAACACACUAAGUCUGCAUUCUUACAACCCCUCAUUGAGGGAGGCAUUCCUGUGUCCACUUUGUGGAUUUGGGAAUUGAGCCUUAGAUAUAGUCCUUUUUCAAAGUCACAUUGUUAGAAAAUGAUUGCUAGAUUUGGUCUAGACCCUUUCCAUGGCUUAGUUCUACUAGAUGCUUCCAAUAAUGGAUAUUAAGGUUCACCUUGCCCAGUCUCUUUCUUUGGACUUCUGUGGCUAGGAAGCAACUGACCCUACUCAUAUAAUAACCAACUUCUCUUUCAAUACAUAGGCAUUUGGAAUUUGAGAAAAAAAAAUCACCUUUCUUCCCUUCCUGGUCCCCUUUCUUACUUUGAAACAAAGCUGACAUAAAAUGGCUGUGGGGGCUACAAUUGCUGAAUAAGACCCUCCUGACAACAUCCGAAUGCCAUUUCCUGGAGCCUGUGGCUGUUAUAUCAUGUAUCAGAAUCUUUACAGGACUUCCCAGCCAGCAGGAAGUGAGCUGAAUGAGGGCAGGAUCGGGUAUCUGCGGUGUGGAACACGUGCACAUAGUUGAAAUUCGAUAUUUGUUGACUGCCUGACCAGCUGUUUGACUGAGCAAUGAAUCAUUUGGAUUUAGUCCUCUAUCCAGGCAGGAUCCUGGAAUGCCAUCUUCACCACUGUAUACCCAAGGACAGGCAGCAAAUUGCUGCUGAGGACAUUGGAUGUGUUCAGAUAUUGCAUCCUGCUUUGAAGGGGUAAUUACAUUUCUGGAUGUUUGGAUAUUCAGAUAAACCCCAUGUUAAAAAUUUAAU